rnacentral:lncRNA from 1 species
UGAAUUCAAAAGCUCAUGACUGUUCUCCCAGUGACCUGGUACUGCUUCUGUUUCUAUUCGCUUUGGUUUUGAGUGUGGUGUCAGUGAGUGUGGAGAGCUAGGUUAGCUAAAGCUAGGUUUACAUGCAUGCGAUCUGCUGCACAUUUUGAUGUGUGCACAGGAUUAUUAUAUUAUUUUGGCAAUUGCAAUAUUGCAAUUAAUUUUUCAAUAUGUACUAUUAAAUUACUCAAGAGCCACAAGUAUGAUUCUACUGAGCCGCAGGUUGCCGACUCUUGUUAUAAUGCUUUGACCAUAAUUCCUUUGAUGGGAUUAAAGAAUAGUUUUAUGACUUCUGCUUUGUUUCAUUUUAAACAUUAUAGUGCCAAAAAGAUGUGAGCAUUGUACCUAAUAGGAAUCAUUUCAGAAAUAUAUUGGAAGUUAAAGGCAGGAGAAAUAGUCCUCUGUUAUGAAAAAUAGUUUGCAUAAAACAUUGAAAAUGUAAACCAG